ACGUACGACCAAUACCAGCCGAAGGAUGCCCGAUCUCGUCUGAUCUCGGAAGAUAAGAAGGCUUGGGCCUGGUUAGUACUUGUAUGGGAGACUGCCUGGGAAUACCAGGUGCUGUAAGCU
ensembl:rRNA 5S_rRNA 5S ribosomal RNA